AUACUUACUUGGCGCAGAGGAUACAGUGAUCAUAAAGGCGGUUCUUCCAGAAUGAGGCUAUUCCAUUGCACUAUAUACGGUUGAGCUAUAGCUAUACCCUAAUGUGGAUAUCUCGCGAGCGUAUAAUUUUUGGUCUAGUCGGGACUGCGUUCGUGCUAUCA